CAGAAGCGAGGCAGCGUAGCCUUACACAGGCUUGCCUGGCGGUACCUCCGACUCGACGGCUUGCGCGAGGUAACAGCUCCCGGAUAAAAGGGAACCAUUCGUCGAUCGAGUUCUACGGUGGCUCUGCUUCCGGCGGCAGCGGAGACGAGGCCUCCGCGGGAUGGACAGCUGGGACAACAGCCAGCCAACGCCGAUAGGCGACCGCCAGCUUCAUCGCCGCCGUUGGCGCCUCGCCCUGCGAGCGAGACCUCGACCGUUUCUACUAGCCAGUACAAGGCCCGCCACAACUUCCUGGCCGAGGCAACGUCAGCUGCUGGAACAAUUUAUGGCAGUCUCCCCUGCAGAAUGGCCCUUCGGGGAUCUCCAGUGUCAAGAAGUGUGCAAGAUACUCCUACAAGGUGUGCAACAGCACCGAUUAGUGCAUUGAAUAAGGCUUCCAGUUUAUGAACAAAAGAGAGCGCUGCCUCAGUUGGCACAGU